CAGCGCGUAGCUCAAUUGGAAGAGCAACUGACUCUUAAUCAGUAGGCUGGAGGUUCGAAUCCUUCCGCGCUGGCCA
rnacentral:tRNA from 1 species